rnacentral:rRNA from 1 species
UUGGCUCAGGACGAACGCUGGCGGCGUGCCUAAUACAUGCAAGUCGAGCGAAUGGAUUAAGAGCUUGCUCUUAUGAAGUUAGCGGCGGACGGGUGAGUAACACGUGGGUAACCUGCCCAUAAGACUGGGAUAACUCCGGGAAACCGGGGCUAAUACCGGAUAACAUUUUGAACCGCAUGGUUCGAAAUUGAAAGGCGGCUUCGGCUGUCACUUAUGGAUGGACCCGCGUCGCAUUAGCUAGUUGGUGAGGUAACGGCUCACCAAGGCAACGAUGCGUAGCCGACCUGAGAGGGUGAUCGGCCACACUGGGACUGAGACACGGCCCAGACUCCUACGGGAGGCNNGCAGUAGGA